rnacentral:rRNA from 1 species
AUUGAACGCUGGCGGCAGGCCUAACACAUGCAAGUCGAACGAGUGGCGGACGGGUGAGUAAUGACUGGGACUCGGCCUGAUGGAGGGGGAUAACUACUGGACACUGUUGCUAAUACCGCAUACAAUAGGCUGGGCCCAAAUGGGAUUAGCUUGUUGGUGGGGUAAAGGAUCACCAAGACGACGAGCCCUAACUGGUCUGAGAGGAUGACCAGCCACACUGGAACUGAGACACGGUCCAGACUCCUACGGGAGGCAGCAGUGGGGAAUAUUGCACAAUGGGCGAAAGCCUGAUGCAGCCAUGCCGCGUGUAUGAAGAAGGCCUUCGGGUUGUAAAGUACUUUCAGUGGGGAGGCGUUACCCACAGAAGAAGCACCGGCUAACUCCGUGCCAGCAGCCGCGGUAAUAC